UUGUGUUCAGUAUUCUCGGUCCUCGUAUCUUUCUGUUUACAUUCACCAAAAUCCCGCGGAAAUCUCACAUGCGUAGGUGCGUUCUAAAAGUCAUGUACUUUCGUACAACAAAGUUUACAUUAAAAAUUAUAUAAUUGUCCCGAAUAAACAGCUGUCAUGGAUGCAAAGAGCUUUUGGAGAAACAAUUAUUUUAAAAAUAUAAAUCUUUGUAAGAUCUAGUUCAAAUAUUUAUAGUUUUUCACUUGCUUUCCAUUACGAUAUAAUUAACGAGACGUUUUUUCAAACACAACCAAAUCACCCACCAUGACAGCAUUUUGUCCAAUCACAGAAAGGAU
rnacentral:lncRNA from 1 species